CCCUGCCAUUUGUACACACCGCCCGUCGCUCCUACCAACUGGAUGAAGAGAUGAAUUUGAGCGACUGGCCAAUUUUUUUUUAAUUUGGCUGGGAAAUCAACUGAAUCUCUUUAUCUGUAGGAAGGAAAAGUCGU
rnacentral:rRNA from 1 species